rfam:Triticum urartu cultivar G1812 contig370544, whole genome shotgun sequence.
AACUACGCCCGCCACACGAGGAGCCAUGGGCACAGCGAACUAUUCUUUCGCCUUUUACUAAAGAAUACCAUGUGCACGCGACACAUGUGUAGCAUACUCUAAUUUUUAAAGGUCCCCGACA